AGUCAGCGGCAAGUCUAGGCAGAAGCCAGGAGGUGUUAGGAACAGACUAUAAGAAAUGGUUGUUCUGGAGGAAAAAGGGUAAAACUUAUGAGGAAAUAACAGGCACCUGGGAAAACCCAUGAAGUAAGGUUUUGUAAGAAGUUGCUCUGCUCCCCGGGAGAAAAUGCCGAGCUCAACACUGCCAAGAGGAACAAGUCUGGGAAAUUACCACAUGAGAUGGAGGUGGAGCAUUUGGUCAUCAUUUCUGUGGAUAGAGAAACCGAAGCCGCAGAUGGAGAAACCGAAGUUCAAAGAGAUGUCCAUCCAGUAGAUCUGAUUCCAGUUUGAUCUUCUUCUGAAUUUUUUUUCUCAUUUUAUUUUGUUACGUAGACUGACAAAUGAAUUUGGUGGAAUUUGGCUAUAAGGUUAAGGUAUUGAGUAAAAAUGAUAGAAAUCAAUUUCUUUUUUGCCUUCUUAGUUAUCUGCCUUUUCUUCAUUUUUUAAAAGAGUUCUUAUUUUUAGCCGUGGUUCACAACCCUUCCUAUAACAGCAUUAGUAAAUUAAAAAAAAAAGAAAAAUUAAUGAAGGCUGUUGGCAUUACUGACUAUACAUUGCACACAAAAGAAAACUGGGUUUUUAAAAAUCAUGUACCCAGGUGGUAAAUUAUGUAGUUAUCUCUAAAGGAGCACUUAGCCAAUGUGAUCUCAUUAAUCCUCACAACACAAUCUCGAUGUCUCUAUUUUGUAAUAGUUGCAAUUUACCAGUAGGAAGUAAAUAACUUGACUAGAAUCUUGAUUUUAGAAACUCUUCGUUUUUGGAACCUCUGACUGUUAUGCACAUGUCUGGUCUGCCUCUCCAUAUUGAAAACUUUGUAAUUUAUCUAGUGUAUUACUUUCCUAGGGCUGUCAUAACAAAAUACCACACAUUGGCUGAUUUAAAGAACAGAAAUUUAUAUUCUCACAAUUCUGGAGGCUAUAAGUUCAAGAUCAAUGCAUUGGCAGGACUUCUUUUGUUUUCUAGAAUCUUGCUCUGUCACCCAGGCUGGAGUCCAGUGGCACGAUCUCGGCUCACUGCAAUCUCUCCCUCCCAGGUUCAGGCAAUUUUCCUGCCUCAGACUUGUGAGUAGCUAGGAUUACAGGUGCGUGCCACCAUGCCCGGCUAAUUUUUUUUUUUUCCAGUAGAGACGGGGUUUCUUCCUGUUGGCCAGGCUGGUCUUGAACUCCUGACCUCAUGAUCUGCCUGCCUUGGCCUCCCAAAGUGCUAGGAUUACAGGAGUGAGCCACCACACCCUGCCAGCAGUUUAUUUUUUCCCCGAGGCCUCUUCUCUUGGCUUGAAGAUAGCCACCUUCUAACUGUGUCCUCACAUGGUUAUCCCUCUCAAGUGUGGUCUGUGUCUUAAUCUCUUAUUACAAGGUCCUGUCAUACGGUAUCAUGACCCACCUAAUGACCUCAUUUUAAUUUAGUUACCUCUUUCAAGACUCCUUCUCCAAAUACCAAAUACAGUCAGACUCUGAGGCACUGGGGGUUAGGGCUUUCACAUAUGAAUUUUCUGGGGGACACAAUUCAAUCCAUACCAUUUAGUGUGACAUUCAAAAGUAAAACUGUAUAUGAACACUUUGUAAGAACUAAAGGAAAGGACAUAAGCUGUAAACUGGGAGUAAAGGAAUGGCACAGGGAUGGUGUUAAAGGGUUGGGGUUAGGGUGGUAUUUAAAGAGUUGGGCUAGAAAUUGCCCUUGGUCUGAUGUAAAAUGAAAUGUAGAAAUAGAGGCAACUCACUCAUAAAACCAGGCCAAUACUACAGCAUUUCUUUUGAUAAAUAUAAGCAAUUAUAAGAGUAUUCUGCUUCAUUUGUGUGGACAAUUAACUGUACACUAUCACUUUUCAGUAAUAAAUAAGUGGUUAAAUGGC
ensembl:lncRNA